AAUUAGGAUUUAGAACAUCUACUAGGGUUUCUUAGUUAUCAAAAGAUUGAAAUUGAAUUUGGAGUUGGUUUUUUUUUAAUAUAAUUUAAGGGUAAAUUCUAUCUAUUCUAUAAAUUUGAAACAAACUGAACAGUUAGAUCAAGAGUUAUGAUUUUUUAAAGUUUGGGAUAAGAAAACCCUUCGUGGGAAAAAUAUAUUUUGAAGGGAUUUUGUUAUAUUUUGAGUUUUAUG
rnacentral:lncRNA from 1 species